AAAUCCAUCUACCAUAUAAAUGGCCUCUGAUACCAAAGCCAAAUCACAAGACAUCUUUAUUUGAUCUCUCCUGUAUAAGAACUGAAAUCCUACCUGUUGAUUAGAAUCAAUAAAAGGAAUCACAGUGAAGCCUUCUAGUACUCGAAGGGGGGUUGCCAAUUUGAUGCUAAUUGAAUUGGUGGAGAUAAUCUGGUUUGCAUGGGGAGCCGUACAUGAGAGCUCUAGAGAUAAUCACUCGGUUUGCAUGUGAUAUAAAAGGGGUUAG
rnacentral:misc_RNA from 1 species